AUUGAUAGGUAAAUAUGAAUGUAAGUAGGCAAAAAGGCACUUUUUUGCUAACCCAAUAUAUUGGGUCAGAUCAGGCAAUAAAUAAUUGUUAACAAUCAACGUUAAAAAAUGAUAAUUAUUAUUUGUUUUGGCAAAAAUAUUUUUUUUCCUAAUAACUAAAGGAACCGGUAAUUAAACACGAUCCAUUAGAUGAACAAUAAAAAGCAAGACAUUAUUAAAUAGCUAUUAACAAUUAAUUGUAGCGUAUUGGUAAAUAGAUACAGUUUGGUGGAAGAAAAA
rnacentral:lncRNA from 1 species